CCUACGGGAGGCAGCAGUGAGGAAUAUUGGUCAAUGGACGCAAGUCUGAACCAGCCAAGUAGCGUGAAGGAUGACGGCCCUACGGGUUGUAAACUGCUUUUAUAAGGGAAUAAAGGGAGGCACGUGUGCCUCUUUGUAUGUAUCUUAUGAAUAAGGAUCGGCUAACUCCGUGCCAGCAGCCGCGGUAAUACGGAGGAUGCGAGCGUUAUCCGGAUUUAUUGGGUUUAAAGGGAGCGUAGGUGGGUUGUUAAGUCAGAUGUGAAAUUUUGCGGCUCAACCGUGGAAUUGCAAUUGAUACUGGAAGUCUUGAGUGCAGUUGAGGUAGGCGGAAUGCAUGGUGUAGCGGUGAAAUGCUUAGAGAUCAUGAAGAACUCCGAUUGCGAAGGCAGCUUACCAAGCUGCCACUGACGUUGAGGCUCGAAAGUGUGGGUAUCAAACAGGAUUAGAUACCCCAGUAGUC
rnacentral:rRNA from 1 species